GUCUCGUGGUGUAGUGGUCAGCACGCUCGACGCGUAUUCGAGAGGUCCGUGGUUCGAGUCCCGGCGAGGGCA
rnacentral:tRNA from 1 species